rnacentral:rRNA from 1 species
CACUUGUACUGUGAAACUGCGAAUGGCUCAUUAAAUCAGUUAUCGUUUAUUUGAUCGUACCAUUGCUACAUGGAUAACCGUAGUAAUUCUAGAGCUAAUACAUGCGAAAAGUCCCGACUUCUGGAAGGGAUGUAUUUAUUAGAUUAAAAACCAAUGCGGGUUCGCGCCCGGUCAUUCGGUGAUUCAUAGUAACUGUUCGAAUCGCAUGGCCUUUGCGCCGGCCAUGAUUCAUUCAAAUUUCUGCCCUAUCAACUGUCGAUGGUAAGGUAGUGGCUUACCAUGGUUGCAACGGGUGACGGAAAAUCAAGGUUCGAUUCCCGAAAGGGAGCCUGAGAAACGGCUACCACAUCCAAGGAAGGCAGCAGGCGCGCAAAUUACCCAAUCCUGACGCAGGGAGGUAGUGACAAAAAAUAACAAUACAGGGCUUUUCAAGUCUUGGAAUUGGAAUGAGUACAAUUUAAAUCUCUUAACGAGGAACAAUUGGAGGGCAAGUCUGGUGCCAGCAGCCGCGGUAAUUCCAGCUCCAAUAGCGUAUACCAAAGUUGUUGCAGUUAAAAAGCUCGUAGUUGGAUUUCGGGACGGUGCGGUCGGUCAGCCGCAAGGUAUGUCACUGGCCGCAUUGUUCCUCUUCGCAAAGACUGCUUGUGCUCUUAAUUGAGUGUGGGCAGGAUUCGCGACGUUUACCUUGAAAAAAUUAGAGUGUUCAAAGCAGGCUGGCGCUUGAAUACAUAAGCAUGGAAUAAUGGAAUAGGACUUUGGUUCUAUUUUGUUGGUUUCUGGAACCGAAGUAAUGAUUAAUAGAGACAG